rnacentral:rRNA from 1 species
AUUGAACGCUGGCGGCAUGCUUUACACAUGCAAGUCGAACGGCGGCGCGGGCUUCGGCCUGGCGGCGGGUGGCGAACGGGUGAGUAAUGCAUCGGAACGUGCCAAGUAGGGGGGGAUUGCUCGACGCAAGCCGGAUUAAUACCGCAUACACCCUGAGGGUGAAAGCGGGGGAUCUUAUCACCUGACGCAGAUGGAACAGCCGUAGGCAGAUUAGCUGGUUGGUGGGGUAAAGGCCUACCAAGGCGACGAUCUGUAGCCGGUCUGAGAGGACGACCAGCCACACUGGGACUGAGACACGGCCCAGACUCCUACGGGAGGCAGCAGUGGGGAAUUUUGGACAAUGGGCGAAAGCCUGAUCCAGCAAUGCCGCGUGUGUGAUGAAGGCCUUCGGGUUGUAAAGCACUUUUGGCGGGAACGAAAAGGACUGUGCCAAUACCACGGUUCGAUGACGGUACCCGCAGAAUAAGCACCGGCUAACUACGUG